UUUCCGUAGGUGAACCUGCGGAAGGAUCAUUAUUG
rnacentral:rRNA from 1 species